rnacentral:rRNA from 1 species
GAGGAGCAUGAACCUUUGUCUUCUGCCUUUGAUGGAUCAUCUCCAGCUUCUGCUAUAGUCGCCGUUGACACAAAUCUGGACACAUCCACUCCUGACACUUAUCGGGCACCCCCUGCACCAUUGCCUUAUGAUGUUAGUUUGCCAGUUACAGAAAACAAUUUUUCAUGUACAGAUCUGGAGAAGUCAGAUAUCAAAAGAAAAACAGAUGAUCAGCAGGAAUCUCUGAAGGUGGAUGAAUACGAAUCAGAAAAAGGUGCCCCUGAAGAUAAGAUCGAGGAGGAGGAUGUUUGCCCUAUCUGCCUUGAAGGUUGCUUUUCUCUUGAUCAUUUGUUGGUACUGUCUUUACUUGGUUGGUUGUGGAACUGGAUGAACAUGUUUGUGCUACUCUUCCAUUCGUUAUCAUUAUUUCCACAGUUUUUUUGUUCAAACAUAUACACAUAG